rnacentral:rRNA from 1 species
ACAGCAGCAGCCACGGUAAUACAGAGGGUGCAAGCGUUAAUCGGAAUUACUGGGCGUAAAGCGCGCGUAGGUGGUUUGUUAAGUUGGAUGUGAAAUCCCCGGGCUCAACCUGGGAACUGCAUUCAAAACUGACUGACUAGAGUAUGGUAGAGGGUGGUGGAAUUUCCUGUGUAGCGGUGAAAUGCGUAGAUAUAGGAAGGAACACCAGUGGCGAAGGCGACCACCUGGACUAAUACUGACACUGAGGUGCGAAAGCGUGGGGAGCAAACAGGAUUAGAUACCCCUGUAGUCCCUGUCUCUUAUAC